rnacentral:rRNA from 1 species
ACAUGCAUACAACUUAACGUUAAUGCACUGGAUCCCAUUAGAAACAUGCAUUUAAGCGUGCUUUGGCUACAGUGGUACUGGGAUGGGUGACCGCCCGGGAAGUCCUAGUGUUUGCAUGCC